CGCCGCUGCGGCCGGGCCGCAGGUGAAAUCCCGGGAGGCGGGAGCGCGGCGGCGGCGGCGCGCUCUGGGCCGCGCGUCCGGAUCCGUGACGCGAGCUGCGCCACCGCCUAAAGCACGAGCGGUGGCGGAUGGCAGCACAGCUCCCUUCGCGCCACGGCUUGGUGCCGGCCCUGGGUAAAAGCGGGGUGGGUGAGAUAAAGCGCAAGCUGUGUUCGGCGAUGGAAAACGCGAGAGAAAGCGACCUCUGCUAAUCAGGCUUCGCGUUCUGCCCUGCUGCGGCCGGCCGCGCGCAGCCUGGACGCUGCGCCGCGGACCCGUCGGCCGUGGUAGCCACGGCGCUCUUGGGUUGACAGCGAAACCUGCGAUAAAACAGUCGCUUCCAGGCAGAAGAUUGGCACUGGUGAGGCUGGUUGUGCUUUCUUGGGACAUCCUUCUCUACCCUUUGAAGUCCGCAGAAGUGUUCCCGCUGAUUUCAAUGGAAAAAACUUCCUCUUCCGCCUAGUGUGCUAGCUGGUGUGCCAAUUAGUGUUUCGUAUUGAUUGGAAGUGAAGAAGGGGGAUUAGGCACUGAUUGUGGCUGCUUGUAGAUGAGGGCAUCUUACACAGUCUGUGCGAUUUACAAAUCAAUAAUUUGGUAGCCUUUUUUUUUAACUGAUCCAGUCAGCAUCUUAGCUAAAAAUAAACUGUAAAAGACAUCAGUGUUUUUUUGCAAGAUGAUAAUUAUGAAUAAAAAUCUUGCUCUGCGAGACCAGCAGUUAUUCUUGUGAAAACAAAUACGGCCUGCAGAGCAACAGAAUAUUAACUGAAAGCAAGACAUUGAAAUCAAAUUGCCAGUGUAGGCUUUCUUGACAGCAUCCCUCAGAGUGUAGAUGACCACCUGAAGUGCCAGUCCUCACAUAAGGCUGGCCUCGCAGCAACCAGAGCCCAUCUCAGACAUGCAGGGAAUCACUUUCCAAAACAGUUUUCCUGCCAACAGGGUUUGUUUGCUCAGUGAUGAGAAACAAUGGUCAACUCAGUUUGUUCCUUGAGCAUUUUAGUGAUUGAGAAGUGGCAUCUGGCACUGUGCUAAAUCCAUUUUCUUAGGCAGCCAAAUGCCAACUUGGCAGCCUAUCUAGAAGGCUGAUAGCACUGAGACACAGGUGAUCUGGAGAAAUUGUUUUCAGCAGUCUCUGGAAAGAGCCAUUUAUAUAAUGAUUUCACUAUGGAACUGACUUCAGGCCUGACUGCUGUUUGUCACCAUUCAGGAAAUUCAUCGCUGGCUCCAGAGGAACACUUAGUCCCUGCUGAGAGCCUGGAAGAGGGGGAGAGAAUCGAUAUCAGAGCUGCAGCUAUUAAGACCAACAGACAAAAUGUUUUAUUCAAACUCAAUUUCCCUUCUCAUACACCUUUUACAUUAAAAUUCUCUUUUUAAGAGAAUUUGAAU